AUUGAACGCUGGCGGCAUGCCUUACACAUGCAAGUCGAACGGCAGCACGGGUGCUUGCACCUGGUGGCGAGUGGCGAACGGGUGAGUAAUACAUCGGAACAUGUCCUGUAGUGGGGGAUAGCCCGGCGAAAGCCGGAUUAAUACCGCAUACGAUCUACGGAUGAAAGCGGGGGACCUUCGGGCCUCGCGCUAUAGGGUUGGCCGAUGGCUGAUUAGCUAGUUGGUGGGGUAAAGGCCUACCAAGGCGACGAUCAGCAGCUGGUCUGAGAGGACGACCAGCCACACUGGGACUGAGACACGGCCCAGACUCCUACGGGAGGCAGCAGUGGGGAAUUUUGGACAAUGGGCGAAAGCCUGAUCCAGCAAUGCCGCGUGUGUGAAGAAGGCCUUCGGGUGGUAAAGCACUUUUGUCCGGAAAGAAAUCCUUGGCCCUAAUACGGUCGGGGGAUGACGGUACCGGAAGAAUAAGCACCGGCUAACUACGUG
rnacentral:rRNA from 1 species